rnacentral:rRNA from 1 species
UGGCGAGUUUGAUCCUGGCUCAGGAUAAACGCUGGCGGCGUGCCUAACACAUGCAAGUCGAACGCCCUGUGCAAACAGGGAGUGGCGGACGGGUGAGGAACACGUGGGUUAUCUACCCUGGGGUGAGGAAUACCGGCGAGAAAUCGCCGACAAUACCGCAUAUGCUCGCGAGAGCAAAGCCGGAAACGGCGCCCGAGGAUGAGCUUGCGCUCGAUUAGUUGGUUGGUGGGGUAAUGGCCUACCAAGACUGCGAUCGAUAGCUGGUCUGAGAGGACGAUCAGCCACACUGGGAUUGAGAACGGCCCAGACUCCUACGGGGGGCAGCAGUGAGGAAUUUUCGUCAAUGGGGGCAACCCUGAACGAGCAACGCCGCGUGCAGGAUGACGGUUUUCGGAUCGUAAACUGCUUUUCUCUGGGACGAGAACGGACGGUACCAGAGGAAUCAGCCCCGGCUAACUACGUGCCAGCAGCCGCGGUAAUACGUAGGGGGCGAGCGUUGUCCGGAGUUACUGGGCGUAAAGCGCACGCAGGCGGUCAGAUUAGUCUGUAGUGACAGUCGUCGGCUCAACUGACGAAGUACUAUGGAAACUGUCUGACUUGAGGGCUUCAGAGGGACACGGAAUUCCGGGUGGAGUGGUGAAAUGCGUAGAUAUCCGGAGGAACACCAAAGGCGAAGGCAGUGUCCUGGGAAGUACCUGACGCUCAGGUGCGAAAGCUAGGGGAGCGAACAGGAUUAGAUACCCUGGUAGUCCUAGCCGUAAACGAUGACCACUAGACGUUGGGGGUAUCGACCCCUUCAGUGUCGCAGUUAACACAAUAAGUGGUCCGCCUGGGGAGUACGGUCGCAAGAUUAAAACUCAAAGGAAUUGACGGGGACCCGCACAAGCAGCGGAGCGUGUGGUUUAAUUCGAUGCAACGCGAAGAACCUUACCAAGGCUUGACAUGGACCUGCACCAGCCGUAACGGGCUGUCCCUUCGGGGCGGGUUCACAGGUGCUGCAUGGCUGUCGUCAGCUCGUGUCGUGAGAUGUUGGGUUAAGUCCCGCAACGAGCGCAACCCCUGUCGUUAGUUGGAUAUUUCUAGCGAAACUGCCGUUAUAAGACGGAGGAAGGCGGGGAUGACGUCAAGUCAGCACGGCCCUUACGCUUUGGGCGACACACACGCUACAAUGGUCAGGACAAAGAGUUGCCAACCCGCGAGGGGGAGCUAAUCUCGUCAAACCUGGCCUCAGUUCAGAUUGGAGGCUGCAACCCGCCUCCAUGAAGUUGGAGUUGCUAGUAACCGUAGGUCAGCACACUACGGUGAAUACGUUCCCGGGUCUUGUACACACCGCCCGUCACACCACGAAAGUUGGCAACACUUGAAGCCGCUGGGCUAACCCAUUGGGAGGCAAGCGUCGAGGGUGGGGUCAGUGAUUGGGGUGAAGUCGUAACAAGGUAGCCGUACCGGAAGGUGCGGCUGGAUCACCUCCUUU